UACAGAGGGUGCGAGCGUUAAUCGGAAUUACUGGGCGUAAAGCGUGCGUAGACGGCUAUCUAAGUCGGGUGUGAAAGCCCCGGGCUCAACCUGGGAAUUGCAUUCGAGACUGAAUAGCUAGGGUACGGUAGAGGGAAGUGGAAUUUCCGGUGUAGCGGUGAAAUGCGUAGAUAUCGGGAGGAACAUCAGUGGCGAAAGCGACUUCCUGGACCAGUACCGACGUUCAGGCACGAAAGCGUGGGGAGCAAACAGG
rnacentral:rRNA from 1 species